GUCCAGUGUGGUGACUGGGCUGAGUCAACCAGGUUCUCCCUCAGGAAUGUGAACUAAGACACACUGAAAGAAUGGAGCAGAUAACAGAAAUCUGAAGCUGAGGGAACGUUCUGGGGCAGAGGAGCAACCAUGAUGCCCCAUUCUCAGGGAAAAGUUAUGAGGCAGGAGGAAUUGGAAAAAAACAACAGAGACCCAGAAUAAAGCCCAGAGAGCAGAGAAUUGGGAAAAAAAAUGAGCUAGCUGGAAGAGAGAUACAGACACACCAAAGAGGAAGUUCUGGAGUCUCUAGCCAUAUGUCCACUUGCCUGCCAGGUGCACUGGCCAUAACCACAGCACAUUCCUGAAGGUCACUACAAGGCUGGAAAAUUGUGGGUCAGCUUCCCAGAGGCACAAUCUCCCAGACAAGCUGAGGCUUUAGGCCCGCCUGCAGUCUAUUCCUGAAGCUGCCGGCAUCCCUCACCUGGUGGUCCCAUCACUCUAAUCUCUGGUUCCAUCACCACAGUGCCUUCUCCUCCUCUGCUCUCCUGCCUCCUCUUAUAAGGAGCUUUGUGAUUACAUUGGACCCACCCCCCAGAUAAUCCAGGAUAAUCUCCUCAUCUCAAAAUCCUUAACUUAAAUCUGCAAAGCCCUUUUGCCAUGUAAGGUAACGAGUCAAUAAAUUCUAGGAAUCUACUCACCAACAUUCAGUCUAUCACAGCAGGAUAGGGGGAGGGGAGUUCAGUGAAACUUCUUCUCAGGUGUCAAGCAAAGGAUGGUGGAGCCUUUUGCUGUGUCUGGACCAGGUCUUGCCACUCUGCGUCUUGCGAAUCUGACCUGCCACAGAUUCCCACACUUCAGCUGCUGCUGCCCGCCCUGCUGUCCUUCUUACCUCUGGAAGCGGCGUCAGCCCCCCAGCUCCUCCAAGGUCAUGGGGGCCUAUGAGGCUGGAGCUGCCCAAUGGUCCAAAAAUUGGCUAGCAAUCUACCUUAGAAGCAUACUACCAAAUACCACCUUUCUCAGGCUCCACCAUCGGAGAGAUUGGAUGGAAGACCAGAGGCUGGGGGAGGAAGACGGGCCUGCUACUGUUCCUGUCUGCACUGCCCCGGGAAAAGCCUACAUCCUGGCACCAGCAGGUCAGUUCUGGUGACCUCAACCUCUCCCCUUCGUCUCCCAGCUCUAGAAGUCCCAGAUGCUUCCUGCAGUGACCAUCUUUAUGUGAAUCCUGUGUUACAUCAGUGUUCCCUUUUUGCUUUUCUGUGCUUCAACAGCUAUUUCAUCAAUUCCCUAUGGUAAAUUCUUUCUAUUAAAGUAACUCGUGUGGA
rnacentral:lncRNA from 1 species